GUGUCCAGCCAGGCCGUCGGUAAUUACCGAGGGUGGCAAGCGUUAAUUCCGAAUUACCUGGGGCCGUAAAGCGCACGCAGGCGGCCUUGUUAAAGUCAGAUGUGAAAUCCCCCCGGGCUCAACCUGGGAACUGCAUCUGAUACUGGCAAGCUUGAGUCUCGUAGAGGGGGGGUAGAAUUUCCAGGUGUAGCGGUGAAAUGCGUAGAGAUCUGGAGGGAAUACCGGUGGCGAAGGCGGCCCCCUGGACGAAGACUGACGCUCAGGUGCGAAAGCGUGGGGAGCAAACAGGAUUAGAUACCCCGGUAGUCC
rnacentral:rRNA from 1 species